GGUCAUGAAGCUCAAUGGUAGAGCACUUGCUUAGAAAGUAUGAGGCCCUGGGCUUGAUACCCAGCACCA
rnacentral:tRNA from 1 species